CAUGUAUGUGUAUGUGCACGUGUAUAUGUGUGAAUGUAUACUCAUACACACACACACAAACACACACAGGCAUACCACAUA
rnacentral:miRNA from 1 species